CACACAGAGCGAGGGAGAGAACAGAGUCUCUGCUGCUCUUUCCCCGCGUAUGCUCGCGGGUGAAUGAGGACUGCUCUUAUGUCAUAUGGUGAAGAAUCUUUUAGUUCUGCUCUGAAAUGCUGGAUCACAAUCGCAACCACAUGAAUAUGUGAGGUCACUGCAUUGACAUGAGGUCACUCUCUGGCUCCCUUGUCAUCAUCAGCACUGUGAGGAGUGCUUAUCAUCAGAAGGAGUACAGAUCACAGCACAGAAGCCGCUGGAGAGGACGCGGAGACCACGGUAAAAAGCUUCAUCAAAACCCACCUGAAGCUGCCGGAGGACACUGUGAAGAACAUCGUCUUCGAUCGGGUACAUCGCCUCGGCCCCAUUCGGGCUACGGCCGGGAGACCACGUCCUAUCGUGGCCAAAUUCGGCCACUUCAAACAAAAGCAACAUGUGAAAAGCCGCGGCAGGGAAUUAAAAGGAACGGACUUCAGCGUGAACGACCAGUUCCCCAAAGAGAUCUUGGAACGACGCAGGGUCCUCUUCCCAAUCCGACGCGGCUUCGUCCAGAAGGGCUCCCGCGCUGUCAUCGCUGUGGACCGGCUGUACGUGGACGGACAGCUCCACCACGACCCCAACAUCACUCCGUGGCUGUAUUAACCUCACACCAGAUAAGAAUCAGCUGCACCAUUUCCCUAUCCACUCACACUAACUUGCAUUAACAUCUGUUUAACUUACCAGCAUCAAAUCGCAUCUUAAAGUGUGAUUUCAUAGCAGAAUUAACACCGUCACUCUCCGUCAGUGAUUUAAUUGGAAUGUUUACGUUUUGUUUUGUGUUUUUUUUUCUUCUUGUUUUUUUUUCCCCUCUCUUUCCCCCCCUCUUGGUUUUAUGCUGCUCACCCCUGUCCUUGGUUUCUUUCUUUAUUCCUUUCACUGCCUCGAUCACCUGCUUCGACACUCAUCCACAAACAUCCUUUAUUUCGACACAUACGCACCAUGCGCUCAACGGCAGCACAUUUACAUCAGUCAGACAGCGCACACAGUCGUUUAGGAUACACACACUUAAGCCAAGCCUACUCAUAUUAGUAACUAUGCAUACACAAAGUCAGACUCAGGGAGCAUCUCGCCACACAUUUUUUCUCUCUCUCCUUCUCUUUAUUUAUGAACAAGUGACGUAUUCUCUCCACCUGGCUAAGCGACGCACACAGCAUACAUCCCUAGUUAUACACAAACAUCUAUGGGUACACUGAGGUUCAUUACAUGGAAUAUAAAUGGAGCUGGCUCCAGAGAAAAG
ensembl:lncRNA